GACGAACGCUGGCGGCGUGCUUAACACAUGCAAGUCGAGCGGUAAGGCCUUUCGGGGUACACGAGCGGCGAACGGGUGAGUAACACGUGGGUGAUCUGCCCUGCACUUCGGGAUAAGCCUGGGAAACUGGGUCUAAUACCGGAAAUGACCUCCUAUCGCAUGGUGGGUGGUGGAAAGAUUUAUCGGUGCAGGAUGGGCCCGCGGCCUAUCAGCUUGUUGGUGGGGUAAUGGCCUACCAAGGCGACGACGGGUAGCCGACCUGAGAGGGUGACCGACCACACUGGGACUGAGACACGGCCCAGACUCCUACGGGAGGCAGCAGUGGGGAAUAUUGCACAAUGGGCGAAAGCCUGAUGCAGCGACGCCGCGUGAGGGAUGACGGCCUUCGGGUUGUAAACCUCUUUCAGCAGGGACGAAGCGCAAGUGACGGUACCUGCAGAAGAAGCACCGGCUAACUACGUGCCAGCAGCCGCGGUAAUACGUAGGGUGCAAGCGUUGUCCGGAAUUACUGGGCGUAAAGAGUUCGUAGGCGGUUUGUCGCGUCGUUUGUGAAAACCAGCAGCUCAACUGCUGGCUUGCAGGCGAUACGGGCAGACUUGAGUACUGCAGGGGAGACUGGAAUUCCUGGUGUAGCGGUGAAAUGCGCAGAUAUCAGGAGGAACACCGGUGGCGAAGGCGGGUCUCUGGGCAGUAACUGACGCUGAGGAACGAAAGCGUGGGUAGCGAACAGGAUUAGAUAUCCUGGUAGUCCACGCCGUAAACUUUGGGCGCUAGGUGUGGGUUCCUUCCACGGAAUCCGUGCCGUAGCUAACGCAUUAAGCGCCCCGCCUGGGGAGUACGGCCGCAAGGCUA
rnacentral:rRNA from 1 species